rnacentral:rRNA from 1 species
UUAAGUUAUUAAGGGCGCACGGUGGAUGCCUUGGCACUAGAAGCCGAUGAAGGACGUUACUAACGACGAUAUGCUUUGGGGAGCUGUAAGUAAGCUUUGAUCCAGAGAUUUCCGAAUGGGGAAACCCAGCAUGAGUUAUGUCAUGUUAUCGAUAUGUGAAUACAUAGCAUAUCAGAAGGCACACCCGGAGAACUGAAACAUCUUAGUACCCGGAGGAAGAGAAAGAAAAUUCGAUUCCCUUAGUAGCGGCGAGCGAAACGGGAAGAGCCCAAACCAACAAGCUUGCUUGUUGGGGUUGUAGGACACUCUAUACGGAGUUACAAAGGACGACAUUAGACGAAUCAUCUGGAAAGAUGAAUCAAAGAAGGUAAUAAUCCUGUAGUCGAAAAUGUUGUCUCUCUUGAGUGGAUCCUGAGUACGACGGAGCACGUGAAAUUCCGUCGGAAUCUGGGAGGACCAUCUCCUAAGGCUAAAUACUCUCUAGUGACCGAUAGUGAACCAGUACCGUGAGGGAAAGGUGAAAAGCACCCCGGAAGGGGAGUGAAAUAGAACCUGAAACCGUGUGCUUACAAGUAGUCAGAGCCCGUUAAUGGGUGAUGGCGUGCCUUUUGUAGAAUGAACCGGCGAGUUACGAUUUGAUGCAAGGUUAAGCAGUAAAUGUGGAGCCGUAGCGAAAGCGAGUCUGAAUAGGGCGUUUAGUAUUUGGUCGUAGACCCGAAACCAGGUGAUCUACCCUUGGUCAGGUUGAAGUUCAGGUAACACUGAAUGGAGGACCGAACCGACUUACGUUGAAAAGUGAGCGGAUGAACUGAGGGUAGCGGAGAAAUUCCAAUCGAACCUGGAGAUAGCUGGUUCUCUCCGAAAUAGCUUUAGGGCUAGCCUCAAGUGAUGAUUAUUGGAGGUAGAGCACUGUUUGGACGAGGGGCCCCUCUCGGGUUACCGAAUUCAGACAAACUCCGAAUGCCAAUUAAUUUAACUUGGGAGUCAGAACAUGGGUGAUAAGGUCCGUGUUCGAAAGGGAAACAGCCCAGACCACCAGCUAAGGUCCCAAAAUAUAUGUUAAGUGGAAAAGGAUGUGGCGUUGCCCAGACAACUAGGAUGUUGGCUUAGAAGCAGCCAUCAUUUAAAGAGUGCGUAAUAGCUCACUAGUCGAGUGACACUGCGCCGAAAAUGUACCGGGGCUAAACAUAUUACCGAAGCUGUGGAUUGUCCUUUGGACAAUGGUAGGAGAGCGUUCUAAGGGCGUUGAAGCAUGAUCGUAAGGACAUGUGGAGCGCUUAGAAGUGAGAAUGCCGGUGUGAGUAGCGAAAGACGGGUGAGAAUCCCGUCCACCGAUUGACUAAGGUUUCCAGAGGAAGGCUCGUCCGCUCUGGGUUAGUCGGGUCCUAAGCUGAGGCCGACAGGCGUAGGCGAUGGAUAACAGGUUGAUAUUCCUGUACCACCUAUAAUCGUUUUAAUCGAUGGGGGGACGCAGUAGGAUAGGCGAAGCGUGCGAUUGGAUUGCACGUCUAAGCAGUAAGGCUGAGUAUUAGGCAAAUCCGGUACUCGUUAAGGCUGAGCUGUGAUGGGGAGAAGACAUUGUGUCUUCGAGUCGUUGAUUUCACACUGCCGAGAAAAGCCUCUAGAUAGAAAAUAGGUGCCCGUACCGCAAACCGACACAGGUAGUCAAGAUGAGAAUUCUAAGGUGAGCGAGCGAACUCUCGUUAAGGAACUCGGCAAAAUGACCCCGUAACUUCGGGAGAAGGGGUGCUCUUUAGGGUUAACGCCCAGAAGAGCCGCAGUGAAUAGGCCCAAGCGACUGUUUAUCAAAAACACAGGUCUCUGCUAAACCGUAAGGUGAUGUAUAGGGGCUGACGCCUGCCCGGUGCUGGAAGGUUAAGAGGAGUGGUUAGCUUCUGCGAAGCUACGAAUCGAAGCCCCAGUAAACGGCGGCCGUAACUAUAACGGUCCUAAGGUAGCGAAAUUCCUUGUCGGGUAAGUUCCGACCCGCACGAAAGGCGUAACGAUUUGGGCACUGUCUCAACGAGAGACUCGGUGAAAUCAUAGUACCUGUGAAGAUGCAGGUUACCCGCGACAGGACGGAAAGACCCCGUGGAGCUUUACUGUAGCCUGAUAUUGAAAUUCGGCACAGCUUGUACAGGAUAGGUAGGAGCCUUUGAAACGUGAGCGCUAGCUUACGUGGAGGCGCUGGUGGGAUACUACCCUAGCUGUGUUGGCUUUCUAACCCGCACCACUUAUCGUGGUGGGAGACAGUGUCAGGCGGGCAGUUUGACUGGGGCGGUCGCCUCCUAAAAGGUAACGGAGGCGCUCAAAGGUUCCCUCAGAAUGGUUGGAAAUCAUUCAUAGAGUGUAAAGGCAUAAGGGAGCUUGACUGCGAGACCUACAAGUCGAGCAGGGUCGAAAGACGGACUUAGUGAUCCGGUGGUUCCGCAUGGAAGGGCCAUCGCUCAACGGAUAAAAGCUACCCCGGGGAUAACAGGCUUAUCUCCCCCAAGAGUUCACAUCGACGGGGAGGUUUGGCACCUCGAUGUCGGCUCAUCACAUCCUGGGGCUGUAGUCGGUCCCAAGGGUUGGGCUGUUCGCCCAUUAAAGCGGUACGCGAGCUGGGUUCAGAACGUCGUGAGACAGUUCGGUCCCUAUCCGUCGUGGGCGUAGGAAAUUUGAGAGGAGCUGUCCUUAGUACGAGAGGACCGGGAUGGACAUACCUCUGGUGUACCAGUUGUCGUGCCAACGGCAUAGCUGGGUAGCUAUGUGUGGACGGGAUAAGUGCUGAAAGCAUCUAAGCAUGAAGCCCCCCUCAAGAUGAGAUUUCCCAACUUCGGUUAUAAGAUCCCUCAAAGAUGAUGAGGUUAAUAGGUUCGAGGUGGAAGCAUGGUGACAUGUGGAGCUGACGAAUACUAAUCGAUCGAAGACUUAAUCAA